UCUAAAGAGAGGAGAUACAUGAUAGAGGACAAGCAGCUCCCAGCCAAUUCACUCAAGAGGACAUCAUACUGCGUCAGCGCAAACUCAAAUCAAAUCUUUAGAGAUGUUUUUUUGGGAUUGCUGAAAGAGCAAUGAACCAACACUGACAUCAAGUGGUCCAACCAGGAAGCUCAGCAGAACAUCUAACUGGG